AGGUCACAGAUCCCGGACGAGCCCCCAAACUGUGUGGGAUGGCUCAGGUCCCUACAUAAAUCAAUUACUCAGAGGCCUCUCAAAAUGAUGACAGAAAA
rnacentral:miRNA from 1 species